GCACCUUUAGCUUAAUAGGAUAAAGCAUUAGUCUUCGAAACUAAAUAUUAUAGGUUCAAUUCCUAUAAGGUGUU